CAAGUAUGGUGGAUUAAGACUGACCUGAGAGAACACGAUAUCAGCACAUCCAUUGAUGGGAAGGAAGGACGUUGACCCAAUAGGCCAUUGGCUUUGUGGAACAACAGUCUUGAAAACCCUUGGAGAAGAUAGGUGCAGCCAACUCUGGAGGACUGCCUGAAAGGGAGCAGAGCCUGUAGAGGAGGCAUGGAGCCUCUGGAUGAAGGGCCGGUGC
rnacentral:lncRNA from 1 species